AGUGCAAUUGCUGGGUCAUAUGGUAAGUCCAUUUUUAGUUUCAAAAGGAACUGCAAACUGUUUUCCAGAGUGGCUGUAUCAUUUUUACAUUCCCAUCAGCAAU
rnacentral:pre_miRNA from 1 species